CAAGCCUAAAUUAGAAAUAAAAAAAUUAGGCUAUUGUAAAUAGAAAAUCAGAAAUUUUUGCUUGUUUGUUUCAUUUUACAAACAACUUUAUGCAACAGAACAAUUUUCAAUAAAAUUUUAACUUGAGAAACGUAAAAUACAAAACAAUCCGAUCGUAAGGAAACAAUAACAAACGGGUAUAUUCUAUGAUUCAGUUAAAAGAUUAAUGAAUGCAAAAAAUAUGAGAUCCGUGCCUUGGUACAGCGCGUGCACCAUUUUCAUAAUCAUUGCUAGUUUGCGCUACUAGUCUCGCUUGGUGCUGGCCAUAGAUGCUACUAGCGAAGUGCACAGUCUUCCUGAUACUAUCCAUAUCUAUGGUGCGAUAAAGUUAUUUUCUUACGUUUGCAAAGGUAAACAAUGAAUGUUUUUCAAAAUAAAAAAAUUAAAACGUAGUUUACCAGGAGGAAUAUAAGGAAAAAUUUGUGAAUUUUAGGACUUUUCCGCUACGUAAAAACGUAUGAAACGGGAAAUUAAUGAUUUUAUAAGUGUAUGUUCCGGGAAAGUAAACCAUUGUAAAUAUAGUAGUACUUUCGGCGGGACCAAAAUUAAUCGGCGUAUGAAACGGGAACGUAUCAUCGAGGUUCUACUGUAGUUGUAUUUUGUACGAUGGCGACUCAAAACUUAAUUCAAUACAAAUGAACAAGCAUUCCGGUAUCGAAAAAAAGUAUCGAACUUACAGUUUCGAUACUCGGUACUUUGCGAUACCGUCAAGUAUCGAAGGUAUCGAGGUAUCGAAGUAUCGAAAAUCCCAUCACUAGCAGCGACAUCCCACAGAGCAAGGAAAGGAAAACGUCGGACGACAGAGCAGGAGUAGUACCUGGAAUGCGCCUUGCCCGACGCGGCGAGCGGCGAGAAGGUGACCUCGAACAGCUGGUCCAU